rnacentral:lncRNA from 1 species
AGAUUCUUACCACCCACCAAAGUAGAAAAAUGCAAGGUAUUGAAUCUUUUUCAUCUUCUAUUUGGUAUACGCCUUCUUAUGGAUUUUGCUAUCUAGGAUACCAUGAUGAUGGGUGCUGAUUAGUGAUUACUAUCAAACUGAGACUGAAAUUGCAUCUCUGCUGGCAGAAGCAAAUGUCCUAGUUGGUGUUGGAUUAGUGCGACUUUGUUUCAAUAGGAGCUAGCUGGGUGUCGAUUGUUGAAUUCAUUAGUGAAGUUGUCUGUGUAUUGUUGUGCUUCUGCUAUGCUGGUUCUGUUUUGUGUUAUAGAGGUCCAACUUCAUGAUUUAUAUUUUGUUAGAGUAGGUGGUUGCAUUAUGGUUGUAUUGAUUUAGUACAGGGGGUUGUACUAGUAUUUUUGUUCCAUUGUUGAAAGGGAGGAGUGUAUUGUAUCAUACUGUUGUUUUGUGAACCAGCACUUUUUGAGCUUAGUUCACUUAUUAAUCUAUUUUUUCUUUUCCAAAAAAAAAAUCAUCCUAAAUCCAACUAUCCAAGUGACUAUUUUUUGUUUUGUUAUAAAUCAUUAAAUGUAAUGAUGAUGAAGUUAAUUUAGUAGGAGAUUUGGGAGCAUA